AAAAUUAUAGUUUGUCUUUAAGAAUAAUUAAAAUAUUUUAAUUCAUAGAAGAAAAGGAAAUAUCCUUAGAUAAAAUUUUCAAGAGUAAUUUUUUAAAGAAAAGAAAUAUGACAAAAUUAAACCGUAAGGGUAUAAAUUAUAGUAGAUUAGUAUUAAUUAUAAAGAGGCUUAAAAAGUUUACCUUGUGUAUUAUGGUUAAUUUAAAUAAAUAGAAAUAUAAUUUUCUUUAAACGAAACAAAAUGAGCUAUAACUUUCCUUGGAGAGCCAGCCAACUCUUGCUGUCGUAAAAGCAAAAGAGAAGAGAAAAUUAUAGAGGUGAUAUGCUUAACGCGUUUUGUGAUAGCUUUUUUUUAGGGAAAUUAAUGUAAGUUAAAACUGAAUUUUUAGUAAAAAGAGUUUUGGUCGAUCAUAGCUCUUUUAAAAGAAAGAACUUUCUGUAUAAAGAUUGGAUAAAAAUUUAAUUUAAAAGUAAGAGUAACUAGGCUUUAAGUAGCUUUGUUAAGGAGUGUAUUUGAGCUCACUUUUACGUUAAUAGUAAAAUUAUUAAAUAUUAAGCCUUUCUUAAUUUGUUAUACCUAAAUUCAGUUAAUUGACUGAUAAUCAUGAUUAAAUUAGUAAAGGUAUUCCUACUUAGAUUUUAAACAAUAUAUAAAUUCAAGAUGAAAAUGGUAAUGUUUACUUAUUAAAGUAAGAAUAGAAUUAUAUUAUAAUAAAGAAAGGAACUCGGCAAAUUUAAGCUCUGCGCCUGUUUACCAAAAACAACGCCUUUAGAAAAAGAUUUAAGGUUCUGCCUGCCCGGUGACAAUAGUUAAACGGCUGCAGUAUUACUGACUGUGCAAAGGUAGCAUAAUCAUUCGCCUGUUAAUUGCAGGCUAGUAUCAACGGCUAGACGACAGAGAGACUGUCUCUCUUUAUUUGACUUGAAAUUAAUUUUAAGGUGAAGAGACCUUAAUUAGUAAGUGGGACAAGAAGACCCUAUAGAGCUUUACCUUAAAAUAAUAAAUUAUUUUAAUAAAAGGUUUGGUUGGGGCAACCUCCCCUCUUUUAUAACAGGGGAUUAAUAUAAUGAUUUGAGUCUAAUACAGAUGGACCCAGAAAAUUCUGAGCAAAAGAAAAAGUUACCUUAGGGAUAACAGCGUAAUUCUCUUUAAGAGUACACAUUGACAAGAGAGCUUGCGACCUCGAUGUUGGAUCAGAAAAACCUGGAUGUGCAGCAGCCUCCUAGGGUAGGUUUGUUCAACCUUUAAACUUCUACGUGAUCUGAGUUCAGUCCGUCGAAAGACAGGACAGUUUCUAUCUACUCCUAUUAGCCUUUUCUUGUACGAAAGGACUUUAAAGGAUAAAAUAAAGAUAUAGAUUAUUUUAUUAUCAACAACAAUAAGAAAAAAUAAAAAUA
rnacentral:rRNA from 1 species